rnacentral:rRNA from 1 species
UACAGGGGGUGCAAACGUUGCUCGGAAUCAUUGGGCGUAAAGCGCACGUAGGCGGUCUGUUAUGUCGGAUGUGAAAGCCCUUGGCUCAACUGAGGAGGUGCAUCCGAAACUGGCAGGCUAGAGUACUAAAGAGGAUCGCGGAAUUCCCGGUGUAGAGGUGAAAUUCGUAGAUACCGUAAGGAAGACCAGUGGCGAAGGCGGAUCUCUGGACAGUUACUGACACUGAGGCACGAAGGCCAGGGGAGCAAACGGG